AUCAUUUAGAGGAAGGAGAAGUCGUAACAAGGUUUCCGUAGGUGAACCUGCGGAAGGAUCAUUGUCGAAGCCCCAAACAGCACGACCCGCGAAUUCGUAUGCGAUAUUGGGCGGCGUAGGGUUCUGAUUGCACCCACCCGCCCCAUCCUACAUGAGACACACGGGGUCCUUCUUGUGUGCGCUCAUUUAGGUAAGAACAAAACCCCGGCGCUAGUUGCGCCAAGGAACCCUUACAAUACAACAUCCCCGUGCAGGGUUUGUUGCAACGUGUUUAUCCAAAAUGACUCUCGGCAACGGAUAUCUCGGCUCUCGCAUCGAUGAAGAACGUAGCGAAAUGCGAUACUUGGUGUGAAUUGCAGAAUCCCGUGAACCAUCGAGUCUUUGAACGCAAGUUGCGCCCGAAGCCAUCAGGCUGAGGGCACGUCUGCCUGGGCGUCAAACGUCGCUGCCCAAAACACCUUGUUCUUGCACUGGACUUGUGUGUCGGGUGUAUGUUGGCCUCCCGUGAGCACGGCUGGCGGUUGGCCUAAAUGCGGGCCUGUGGGGGCGAGCACCAUGACGUACGGUGGCUGAGUCAUGCUCGAAGCCAGUCUUGCGUGCCUCGUCUCGCGCGAUGGCUCCUCUGACCCUCAUGCAUCGUGUUCGAUGCUCUCAACGCGACCCCAGGUCAGGCGGGGCUACUCGCUGAAUUUAAGCAUAUCAA
rnacentral:misc_RNA from 1 species